ACUCUACAACACCUGAGGCCAGCACUACAGAACAAAUAACUACAGUUGAAUACACAACACAACUGAUCACAGUUACCAACUCUACUACACCUGAGGCCAGCACUAGAGAACAAAUAACUACAGUUGAUAACACAAUACAACUGACCACAGUUACCAACUCUACGACACCUGAGGCCAGCACUACAGAACAAAUGACCAAAGUUACCAACUCUACAACAACUCCACCCACAACAGGACAAAGUACUACAGCUGACCCCACAACACAACUGACCACAGUUACCAACUUUACUACACCUGCAGCUACAACAAAUCAGACAACUGCAGUUGACCCCACAACACAACCGACCACAGACACUAGAACUACAGUAACUACUGAACCACCACCAGCAACUACAAAAACGACACCACCAACAACAAUAC